AAACAAGAGCAAGCCUCCAGAUGCCCGCCGCCGGGGCGGGCGUUGACCCGCCUGACCGGACCCACCAAUCGGCGUGGGAGUGGAACAGCCCGACGUGUCCUCGCUUGGCGGCGCCACCGCGGCCGCCGCUCCGAGGCCGAGCGACGCCGCGGGUGUCUCUCCUCCGCCGCGUCCUCCUCGCGGCCUCCUGCUGCAUCCCCUCCGCCAUGCUGCUGGGUGCCGACGAGGGCGAGUGGGCGGCGGUGGAGCGCCGGGGCCCGCACCUGUGAGCGUCGGGGCGGCCCUUCUUCGUGCACGACUCAUUUCGCGGCGGACGCCGCCACGCGCGCCGCGUUCACCGCUGCUCUAGUGGACGCCGCCCGCGCGGACCUCAAUGUGUGCUGCACCUGGGCCUUCAACGACGGCGGGUACCGCGCGCUGCAGCUCAAGCACUUCUCCUACGACGAGGAGGUCUUCUAUGUGCGCGCGCGUCGCGAUUCUGUAGCAUCCGCGGCGCUUGUUUGGUGAAAUGCUUGGUGCAUCCGCGCGCGUCUUCACAUCAUUUAUUAUUGUUAUCGUCCAGCGUUUGUAGUUUGUAGUACUACAUUGCCUGUAUCUCUCAAACAGAGACUCGCUAUUUACUAAUUAAGUGACAGCUAAGCUUAGAAUUCCUUUUUUUCCCUUGUUAUAGGCAUUAGAUUUUGUGAUCAGCGAGGCAGGAAACUAUAAGAUGAGGCUGAUACUGUCACUGUGUAAUAGCUGGUAAGAUUAUGGAGGUAAGGCACAGCAUGCCAAGGUGGGGAAAGGAGGCUGGCCUGGAUCAUACUUCUGAUGACGCCUUCUUCCCUGAUGCCACAUUCACAAGAUGGAGAAGCGAGUGUUGGUAUAUUCAUAGCGUUGGGAUCUGAAUUCUUAACAACAGCUGUUUUUUAUGGCACUUAUUUUGUUUGAUCGCCCUUCUGCCAUGUCUUACCAGAUACCAUCACAAUUGCAUACAUUGUUCUUUCAUAUCUUAGGCUGUUUUGAUGAGAAAAAAUACAAUCACAAAUGUCGCCUACAUGGAUGACCCUACGAUUCUUGCCUGGGAGCUGAUCAAUGAGCCAUACUGCCAUUCAGAUCCAUCAGCCAACACAUUGCAGAGAUGGCGUCUUAUGUGAAAUCUAUAGACCCUGUGCACCUUUUAGAGAUGCGGCGUUGAAGGGUUUUAUGGUCCGUCGACUCCAAAACUUCUGCAUGUGAACCCAGAUGGCAGAUGCUUAUUCUGGAACUAUUGGGAUGGAUUUUAUCAUGAACCAUAGUGCACUGGGAAUUGAUUUAGCUUCUGUUCAUAUUUGUUCUGACAGUUGAUAAGUCCCCAUAUUGUCAUGAGAGAAGAAGGGGCUGUGAUCUGUAUCUAUGACCAAAACCUCACUGGGUGGCCACUUUUUGAUCAUGGAGUCUUGCUGUUGAGGAUCCAGCAUGUGGUCGCGCUCCAUCUUUAUGAAAGUUCGUUUGAUUCGGUUCAAUCUCUCAUCAUCUCCUUCGAAGCUUGCUGUACUGAUAGCUGUUGCAGGCCACGGACGCAUCAGCAUUGAAGCAAGUACUGAUUCCUAUACCAGAUAAAAAUAAGAAUGGCUUUGUUGUGAUAGUCGAUCACGCUGGAAUUCUGGCCUCAAGGCAAUGGUUGUUGGAGGAUCAUCUGCUCCUGCACCAAGUGUCAACUCAAUCUCGUUCUCGGGCAAAGUCGGUAACCCCUGUUACAUGUUGAUAUGAGAAGGAUGUAACAAUCAUACAUCGUAUUAUAAAAGAAGAUUAAUUAUAGUAGAUUCACCACGAGCUAACGCAACUUCGUAUGAUUGUUUCAGAGUUUCCAUGCUCAUAUGUGUUAUUACAUUUUUCUUCUAUAAUAAAAGCCUUAAGGUUUGCCCCUAUAUGUAUAUGUUUGUUUGAUGUGUACUCUAUAUUUUUUUAUCAUUUGCUAGGAGGGUCUAUGUGGUUUAAAAAGAUGGCAAACAAAUUCUUCAAAAACAUUACAUCGUUCUUAUCUUCAUCGGCUUGAAAUCCAAACGGCAGCAUUGUGGCGGCCACGAAAAAUGCUUGACCGAUCCUGUCAACAAAUUCAUGCAUUGCAUGGAUCACACUCAGCCCUCCAGCGCCAUGUCCGAUCAGAAUCACCUAGAACAAGACCGGAGAAUGGGUUAGCAUACAUAUGGACAGCACCAGGCACUGGAGUCUGGAAGAACACAAGCGAUUACUACAGAUGAGAGAUUCACAAUGACUUGAUGAUCAGCUCGAAGAGGCGCUCUGGGGCGGAGAAGAAAGGGCUGUGGUCGGUGUCCAUCGCCGCCACCUCGCUCGGCGGCCACCGGCGGACCAUCGCCUCCUGCUGCUCCGGCUUCAGCAUGCGGUCGUUGGCCGUCUUCACGUACACCCGACGCACAGUGUUCACGGCGCCGUCGUCGGCGCGGCCGAAGCCGAACCUGGCGGCGCCCAGAGCUGCCGGCCACGGGCGCAGCAGAAUGGAUGCGAGCGUGGAGUCCUCGUGGGUGCAUUGCUGGUACAGGAUCGCGCGCUGGUGCUCCUCUCUCAGCGCCACGCUCGUCGGAGGGCGGUCGUCUCCCAGACUGAACUUGAGGUCGUAAACGUCGUCGCCGAACUCGGAUAGAUCAGGUGCUCCCUGUUGGUUUCCAGUCCAAGUUUUCAGUUACCAGAUAUAAAAUUAACGAGAGUUGAACAAGGCAAUAAGGGGGAGGGGGGAUCACAUCUUUGAUAUCUUGCUCCGACUGGUACCCGAACGGGAGCAUGGUCGCUGCUACGAAGAUGGCCUGCUUGAUCUUGUCUCUGAACAGAUGCAUCGCGUGGGUGACGCUCAGUCCUCCUGCGCUAUGCCCUACCAGAACCACCUGCCAAAACACAGCAUGAACUUGCACCAUGCAUGUAUGGCAAGGCAACAGAGCUAGCUGGCACAGCUACCUUGCGGCCGUCGUCCGGCAAGGCGGCCAUCAAGUCGAGGAGCGGCGCGUCGUACUCGUCGAACGAGCGGACGUCGUCCGGGUCGACGAGGCUGCCGGCGGCCCCGGCGAGGUCGACGCAGGAGACGCGGUGGCGGCCGGAGCCCCGGAGCAGGCACGCCAGCUUGAACCAGCACCAGGCGCCGUGGCCGGCGCCGUGCACGAGCACGAAAUGCUCCUCCUUGUCGUUGCUAGCCUUGUGAACCUCGCCGCCGCCGCCGGCGGCCUCCAUAUCUUACUUUUACAGUACGUUACAGCUUUGUUUGUAUUGUUGUAUGGAGUCGCGCGUUGUACUAAGAUCGCGUCUAUGCGUGUGUACAUAUAUAUACAGCCACAUGUUAGUUGCUUACGUUUGAGACGACAGCCAUUUGCAGCAAAGUUAAUGCUAGUUGAAAUGAUCAA